AGAGCCCGGAGAUGGAUUCUGAGACACGAAUCCAGGCCCUACGGGGUGCAGCAGGCGCGAAAACUUUACAAUGCUGGCAACAGCGAUAAGGGAACCUCGAGUGCCAGGUUACAAAUCUGGCUGUCGAGAUGCCUAAAAAGCAUUUCAUAGCAAGGGCCGGGCAAGACCGGUGCCAGCCGCCGCGGUAACACCGGCGGCUCGAGUGGUAACCGUUAUUAUUGGGUCUAAAGGGUCUGUAGCCGGCCGGAUAAGUCUCUUGAGAAAUCUGGCAGCUUAACUGUCAGGCUUUCAGGAGAUACUGUCUGGCUCGAGGCCGGGAGAGGUGAGAGGUACUUCAGGGGUAGGGGUGAAAUCUUGUAAUCCUUGAAGGACCACCAGUGGCGAAGGCGUCUCACCAGAACGGACCUGACGGCAAGGGACGAAAGCUAGGGGCACGAACCGGAUUAGAUACCCGGGUAGUCCUAGCCGUAAACGAUACUCGCUAGGUGUCGGCCACGGUGCGACCGUUGUCGGUGCCGUAGGGAAGCCGUGAAGCGAGC
rnacentral:rRNA from 1 species